GUGAGGAAUAUUGCACAAUGAGCGAAAGCUAGAUGCAGCAACGCCGCGUGGGUGAAGAAGGCCUUCGGGUCGUAAAACCCUUUUCUGGGGGACGAGAGAGGACGGUACCCCAGGAAUAAGGUUCGGCUAACUACGUGCCAGCAGCCGCGGUAAAACGUAGGAACCGAGCGUUAUCCGGAUUUACUGGGCGUAAAGCGCCUGCAGGCGGUUUCGUAAGUUGGAUGUGAAAUCUCCCGGCUUAACUGGGAGGUGUCGUUCAAUACUGCGGAGCUUGAGGGCAGAAGAGGGAAGUGGAAUUCCCGGUGUAGUGGUGAAAUGCGUAGAUAUCGGGAGGAACACCAGUGGCGAAGGCGACUUCCUGGUCUGCACCUGACGCUAAGAGGCGAAAGCUAGGGGAGCGAACGGGAUUAGAAACCCCAGUAGUCC
rnacentral:rRNA from 1 species